CGGAAGAGAUAAGUGCUGAAAGCAUCUAAGCACGAAACUUGCCCCGAGAUGAGUUCUCCCUGAGACUAUAAGUCUCCUGAAGGAACGUUAAAGACGAUGACGUUGAUAGGCCGGGUGUGUAAGCGCAGCGAUGCGUUGAGCUAACCGGUACUAAUGAACCGUGAGGCUUAACCUUAC
rnacentral:rRNA from 1 species